GAUGAACGCUGGCGGCGUGCUUAAUACAUGCAAGUCGAGCGAACAGACGAGGCGUUUGCUCCUUUCACGUUCGCGGCGGACGGGUGAGUUACACGUAGGUAACCUACCUAUAAGACUGCGAUAACUUCGGGCCACCGGCGCCAAUCCCGGAUAAUAUUUAGACCAGCCUGGUUCGAUAGUGAAAGAUGGCUUUGCUAUCACUUAUCGAUGUACUUCGGUCGUAUUAGCUCGUUGGUAAGGUAACGGCGUACCAAGGCAACGAUGCGUAGCCGACCUGAGCGGGUGAUCGGCCACACUGGAACUGAGACACGGUGCGGAGGCCUACAGGAGGCAGCAGUAGAGAAGCGGCGACAAUGGGGGAAAGCCUGACGGAGCAACGCCGCGUGGGUGAUGAAAGGCUUCGGAUCGUAGAACUGUAUAAUUAGGGAGGAACAAACGAAUAAGUAGCAGUGCAGGGGUUGACGGUACCGAGUCAGAAAGCAACGGCUAACUACGUG
rnacentral:rRNA from 1 species